UACAGAGGGUGCAAGCGUUGUUCGGAAUCAUUGGGCGUAAAGGGCGUGUAGGUGGUCUGUUAAGUCAUGUGUGAAAUCCCUCGGCUCAACCGGGGAACGACGCAUGAAACUGACAAGCUAGAGUACCAAAGAGGGAAGUGGAAUUUCCGGUGUAGCGGUGAAAUGCGUAGAUAUCGGAAGGAACAUCAGUGGCGAAAGCGACUUCCUGGACCAAUACUGACGCUCAUGUGCGAAAGCGUGGGGAGCAAACAGGA
rnacentral:rRNA from 1 species